AGAAGCCCAGUCCUUGGGGUAAGAAGAGCUGGAGUUACAAGCACUGUCUGAUGCUGGGGUAGCUGGCCAGUGUCCGCUUUGAUAUGUUAAUGGACACCUCAGCCAAUUGUCCAGUGUUUGAGACCUAACAAGGGACACAUGGAUAGUGAUAGAAAUAGAGGCAGUUUAUUAAGAAAGAAAAGGGCACUCUUGAGGGUGGCAGCAAUGCCAGUGUACUGGGAAAAGCCACCUGGCACCAGACUUCUCAUCUUUUAUGUUAUUAGCAUAGCAGCUGCCUUCUGCACUAGAAUAGUGUGGGCUUUCCUUUAGCAUGGCUAGGCAGGCUUCCUGGCUUUCUUUGCUAACUGGCUUACAUAUGUCAGUCUUGAUGCCUCUUACUCCUGCUGUGCCGCCACCCUCCCCCUCCAGUUUGCCACCCUCCUCAGGCUCUUGGGAAGACCAGCUUAGGGAGCAGCUUUGCUGAACCCCGACAUAAUUUCAUUUCCUGUUUUCCAUUCUUACUAGAAGUUCCUGCUUCUUGUCUCUUGCUGUCCAUGCUGAGCACCUUGUGUGCCUGCUACCUACCCUGGGCCCUGCCACCUGUCCCAUGACCCUUAGUUUGGAAUUGCUGUUUCCUGUAUUCUGACUCAAAAAGGGUUGUUCAGGGGUGUGUUAAUAAAGACCCAUUCCUAGACCUCAUCCUAGAUGUCCCAUGCUCAGCGCCAGAACUGGAGGCCCUUCAGCCUUCCCACUAAAGCCUUGGACAUCCAGUUGCUUUGGGGAAAAGGGUCCAUCUUCACCAGGUCCAAGUUUACAGUCUUGGUGGGGGGCUGUUAGCCCUGCUUGAACUCUCCCAGUGGCUCUGAUCACACUUUGGUUUUGUCCCUAAGGAGCUGGGAUGGAUGAGAGGCCACUGUGGAAGGGCCGAGGUAAGACCCGUCAUCAAGGCUCCCCACCUUGCUGGACCACUGAUCUCACUUGACUGGGGGAAGGAGGCAAAAACUUCAACCUAGGACAGCAGAGCAGGCCCUGGCAGGGGCUCCUGAGAGCAGUAUCAAGUAGCUGGGAGAGAGCACAAACACUCGAGAGACUGGCUAGUGACAGACAGCGACUCUACUGUUGGGCUCAUUUAAGCAGUGCUCUCGCUUUUUGGGAUCCUGGCAUUAGCUAGAGGAAGACUCGAUAACUUACUACUACUACAUAGCCCCGGCACAUAGUAGGCCCUCAAUAAAUAUUUGUUGAAUGAAUGAGAUGCGACUCAAAGCCAAGAACAGAUUUUGGGUGUUUCUGAAUCUUUCAUGCCACCAUUUCCACGGGGGAACCAGGAUCAAGAGCUUCAUGGGGUCUAGGGCCCCUGACAGGGCAGUGGUGGGACCUCACCUCAGAACCUAGCAUAAAGGUAAUUGUGGCUCUUGUGAGGGACACAGAACUUCCUUUUAAUACAGAGAGCUCCUUGCCCCAUUAGAGCUCAGGAAUCCUGAGCUCCCCAACUUAGGAGCCGAUCAGCAGCUGCGGAGGCCACACCACUGCUUCUUCACUGCCAUCAAACGACGUGGGCGGUGUUACAGAUGUGGCGUCAGUGGCAUCUGACUGCAGGACUGCUGAGCCUCCAGGGCCAGGGAGAAACGGCAGAGAAUGAAGCACUCUGUGAAGGCGGGGCUGGAGGGGACAGAGGCCGACCGCGGUGGAGCCCAGUGUAGACGCCAGGCUACAUGACCUGCUUGAGUACGGAAGCUGCGUGGGGGGGACCUCGAAGUGAGUCUAUCCGCUUGGACAGCCCUGAAAGCAGAUCCUAGGCUCAGCACUCGGGCCAGCCGUCAAUGUGGGACUUUCCUGGGAAUGGCUGCCCUACAAGUGCAGGUCUGACAGGAAUGCCAGCCCCUCCAGUGACCCCAAUCUACACAGUGAUGCAACAUGGUCCUCUCCAGAACCACCGCACUGAAGACAGGGUUUCAUAUGUAUCCCACUUUGAACUUGCAAUGUAGAGGAUCUUGAAUUACUAAAUUCUCCUGCUUCUAACUGAUGCUGGGACAAGGAAUGUAUUACCAUGCCGAGUUUAUCUCAUACUGAAGAUGGAUCCCAGGGUCUCAUGAAUGCCAGGAGAGCACUCUAUACUAACUGAGCUCAAGCUCCAGAACUUACUACAUAUGUUGUCACUGAGACACCCAAGGAGGCUUAUCAAAUUUGCUCUCUGAGCAAAGCAACCCUGUGUGAACAGCAAGAAGACAGUCAUCUGCAUGACAGAAAAGUUCCCUAUCCCAAAACCAGUGUGCCAGCCUUGGUCCCAGACUCUAAUAAAAUAUAUGUAUAAGCUGUC